rnacentral:lncRNA from 1 species
GGACUGGGCCGACAGGACCGGCGACCAGACGGUGACGUCGCGGUGGCCCUGGUACUGCGGCGGCAGCGAGACGGGGACCGUGACGGGCUCGUCGCGGUAGGUGACGAAGACGUCGAGGCGGCGGUAGAGGACGCCGACGUGGUCGUUGGGGUUGCGGGAGGCCAGCGUCACCUGCGCCGACGCCGAGAGGGACGGGUCGCCCACGGUGAUGGGGCGGCGGAGCUGCAGGUCCUGCAGGUAGAAGGACGGCUUGGAGGGGCGGAGCGCGAGGUAGACGACGAGCGCGACGAAGGCCACGAUGAGGACCAGCGCCAGGAGGCACGACGCCAUGCACCCGCAGCAGCGCCGCAGGUGGUGCUCGUGGCGGUGGUGCUUGCCCUCCUUGCUCAUGGCUGAUCAGUGGUCACGA